CUCCAACCAAACCGCACUCACCUCCCCUCACUCUGCCACACUCACCCUAUCACAUCAACCCCGUCUAAUCCUGUUACACUCACCUUUUCUCUCACUGUCACACUCACCACUCCUCUUCCUGUCAAACUCUCUCCUUAAACUGUGCCACACUCACCCCCAAGCCUGCCACCCUGUUGCAUUUACACCUCUAAUCCUGUCACCCUCACCCC